AAUGGGGGCAACCCUGAUCUAGCCAUGCCGCGUGAGUGAAGAAGGCCUUAGGGUCGUAAAGCUCUUUCAGCUGGGAAGAUAAUGACGGUACCAGCAGAAGAAGCCCCGGCUAACUCCGUGCCAGCAGCCGCGGUAAUACGGAGGGGGCUAGCGUUGUUCGGAAUUACUGGGCGUAAAGCGCGCGUAGGCGGGCUGUUAAGUCGGGGGUGAAAUCCCGGGGCUCAACCCCGGAACUGCCUCCGAUACUGGCAGCCUAGAGAUCGAGAGAGGUGAGUGGAAUUCCGAGUGUAGAGGUGAAAUUCGUAGAUAUUCGGAGGAACACCAGUGGCGAAGGCGGCUCACUGGCUCGAUACUGACGCUGAGGCGCGAAAGCGUGGGGAGCAAACAGGAUU
rnacentral:rRNA from 1 species